UGGGGAAUUUUGGACAAUGGGCGAAAGCCUGAUCCAGCAAUGCCGCGUGUGUGAAGAAGGCCUUCGGGUUGUAAAGCACUUUUGUCCGGAAAGAAAUCCUUGGCUCUAAUACAGUCGGGGGAUGACGGUACCGGAAGAAUAAGCACCGGCUAACUACGUGCCAGCAGCCGCGGUAAUACGUAGGGUGCAAGCGUUAAUCGGAAUUACUGGGCGUAAAGCGUGCGCAGGCGGUUUGCUAAGACCGAUGUGAAAUCCCCGGGCUCAACCUGGGAACUGCAUUGGUGACUGGCAGGCUAGAGUAUGGCAGAGGGGGGUAGAAUUCCACGUGUAGCAGUGAAAUGCGUAGAGAUGUGGAGGAAUACCGAUGGCGAAGGCAGCCCCCUGGGCCAAUACUGACGCUCAUGCACGAAAGCGUGGGGAGCAAACAGGAUUAGAUACCCUGGUAGUCCACGCCCUAAACGAUGUCAACUAGUUGUUGGGGAUUCAUUUCCUUAGUAACGUAGCAACGCGUGAAGUUGACCGCCUGGGGAGUACGGUCGCAAGAUUAAAACUC
rnacentral:rRNA from 1 species